rnacentral:rRNA from 1 species
GAUGAACGCUGGCGGCGUGCCUAAUACAUGCAAGUCGAGCGAACAGACGAGGAGCUUGCUCCUCUGACGUUAGCGGCGGACGGGUGAGUAACACGUGGAUAACCUACCUAUAAGACUGGGAUAACUUCGGGAAACCGGAGCUAAUACCGGAUAAUAUAUUGAACCGCAUGGUUCAAUAGUGAAAGACGGUUUUGCUGUCACUUAUAGAUGGAUCCGCGCCGCAUUAGCUAGUUGGUAAGGUAACGGCUUACCAAGGCAACGAUGCGUAGCCGACCUGAGAGGGGGAUCGGCACACUUGGAACGGAGCCACGGCCAGGACUCCUACGGGAGGCAGCAGAAGGAAAUCUUCCGCAAUGGGCGAAAGCUUGCCGGAGCAACGCGGCGUGAGUGAUGAAGGUCUUCGGAUCGUAAAACUCUGUUAUUAGGGAAGAACAAAUGUGUAAGUAACUAUGCACGUCUUGACGGUACCUAAUCAGAAAGCCACGGCUAACUACGUG